rnacentral:rRNA from 1 species
AGCAGCCGCGGUAAUUCCAGCUCCAAUAGCGUAUAUUAAAGUUGUUGCAGUUAAAAAGCUCGUAGUUGAAUUUCGGGAUCAAUUAAUCGGUCGUGCCUCUGGUACGCACUGGUUUUAUUGGUUUCUCCCUUCUGACGAACCAGGAUGUCUUUAAUUUGGUGUCUUGGAGAAUCAGGACUGUUACUUUGAAAAAUUAGAGUGUUUAAAGCAGGCUUCUAGGCAUGAAUACAUUAGCAUGGAAUAAUGAAAUAGGACGUUUGAUCCUAUUUUGUUGGUUUCUAGGAUCGACGUAAUGAUUAAUAGGGAUAGUUGGGGGCAUUAGUAUUCAAUUGCCAGAGGCGAAAUUCUUGGAUUUAUUGAAGACUAACUAUUGCGAAAGCAUUUGCCAAGGAUGUUUUCAUUAAUCAAGAACGAAAGUUAGGGGAUCGAAGACGAUCAGAUACCGUCGUAGUCUUAACCAUAAACUAUAGCCGACUAGGGAUCGGAUGAUGUUAAAUUUUUUUAAUAGUACUCAUUCGGU